rnacentral:rRNA from 1 species
AUGGCGGCGGCGGCGGAGGAGCCGUGCUGCAUCUCCCACGCCUUCGACCGCGCCGCGCGUCGGGACCCUGCCCGACUCGCCGUCGUCCACGCGGGUGACGGCGGCGCCGCUUCGCCGGCGGCGACCUCCCAUCCGCCGUCUCCUCGCUCUCCCGCCGCAUCGCCGCCGUGCUUCCUCGCCCUUCCACCGACCACCCCGGCGACGACGGGUCCCCAGGCUGCUCGGAUCAACAGAGGGGAGGCGCAGGCGCGAUGCCUAGGGUCGUUGGGGUGUACGCCUCGCCGUCGGUGGAGGUGCGGGGAGGCGUUCCUGCCGCUGGACCCAUCCUGGCCCGAGGAUAGGGUCCGGUCAGCUGUCUCUGCUUCUAAUGCGGUGCUAGUCGUAUCGGCAGGGGUUUCAAAUGAAGACGAUGUUCUUAAGGGCAGCUCUUGCCCUGUUCUGCGAUUCAACGGUGACAUCCGAUGUCGGCAGGGGUCUGAUGAUGUGCUCUAA